rnacentral:rRNA from 1 species
UGGGGAAUAUUGCGCAAUGGGCGAAAGCCUGACGCAGCGACGCCGCGUGAGGGAUGAUGGUUUUCGGAUCGUAAACCUCUGUCAGAAGGGAAGACACCGCACUGUGCUAAUCAGCAGUGCCUUGACGGUACCUUCAAAGGAAGCACCGGCUAACUCCGUGCCAGCAGCCGCGGUAAUACGGAGGGUGCAAGCGUUAAUCGGAAUUACUGGGCGUAAAGCGCACGUAGGCUGCUUUGUAAGUCAGGGGUGAAAACCCACGGCUCAACCGUGGAACUUCCGUUGAUUCUUCUUAGCUUAAAUCCCGGAGAGGGGGGAGGAAUUCCAGGUGUAGGAGUGACAUCCGUAGAUAUCUGGGGAAACAUCAGUGGGGAAGGCGGCUACAUGGUACGGUAUAGACGCUGAGGUGAGAAAGCGUUGGGAGCAAACAGG